rnacentral:rRNA from 1 species
CCUACGGGAGGCAGCAGUGAGGAAUAUUGGUCAAUGGGCUGACGCCUGAACCAGCCAAGUCGCGUGAGGGAAGACGGCCCGAUGGGUGGUAAACCGCUUUUGUCAGGGAGCAAGUGGCGCUACGUGUAGCGUUAUCGAGAGGACCUGAAGAAAAAGCAGCGGCUAACUCCGUGCCAGCAGCCGCGGUAAUACGGAGGAUGCGAGCGUUAUCCGGAUUGAUUGGGUUUCAAGGGUGCGUAGGCGGAAUGCCAAGUCAGCGGUAAAAUCGCGGGGCUCAACCUCGCUCCGCCGUUGAAACUGGCGUUCUUGAUUGGGCGAGAGGUCUGCGGAAUGCUUGGUGUAGCGGUGAAAUGCAUAGCUAUCACGCAGAACUCCGAUUGCGAAGGCAGCAUACCGGCGCCCAACUGACGCUGAGGCCCGAAAGCGUGGGUAUCGAACAGGAUUAGAUACCCGAGUAGUC